rnacentral:rRNA from 1 species
GGGCGUUAAGUUGCAGGGUAUAGACCCGAAACCCGGUGAUCUAGCCAUGGGCAGGUUGAAGGUUGGGUAACACUAACUGGAGGACCGAACCGACUAAUGUUGAAAAAUUAGCGGAUGACCUGUGGCUGGGGGUGAAAGGCCAAUCAAACCGGGAGAUAGCUGGUUCUCCCCGAAAGCUAUUUAGGUAGCGCCUCGUGAAUUCAUCUCCGGGGGUAGAGCACUGUUUCGGCUAGGGGGCCAUCCCGGCUUACCAACCCGAUGCAAACUGCGAAUACCGGAGAAUGUUAUCACGGGAGACACACGGCGGGUGCUAACGUCCGUCGUGAAGAGGGAAACAACCCAGACCGCCAGCUAAGGUCCCAAAGUCAUGGUUAAGUGGGAAACGAUGUGGGAAGGCCCAGACAGCCAGGAUGUUGGCUUAGAAGCAGCCAUCAUUUAAAGAAAGCGUAAUAGCUCACUGGUCGAGUCGGCCUGCGCGGAAGAUGUAACGGGGCUAAACCAUGCACCGAAGCUGCGGCAGCGACGCUUAUGCGUUGUUGGGUAGGGGAGCGUUCUGUAAGCCUGUGAAGGUGGCCUGUGAGGGUUGCUGGAGGUAUCAGAAGUGCGAAUGCUGACAUAAGUAACGAUAAAGCGGGUGAAAAGCCCGCUCGCCGGAAGACCAAGGGUUCCUGUCCAACGUUAAUCGGGGCAGGGUGAGUCGACCCCUAAGGCGAGGCCGAAAGGCGUAGUCGAUGGGAAAC